rnacentral:rRNA from 1 species
AACGAACGCUGGCGGCGUGCUUAACACAUGCAAGUCGAACGCGAAAGAUUUCUUCGGAACUCGAGUAGAGUGGCGCACGGGUGAGUAACGCGUAAGUAAUCUACCCUGGUAUCUGGGAUAACCCACCGAAAGGUGAGCUAAUACCGGAUACGCUGGAAACAGGAAAGAUGGCCUCUUCUUGAAAGCUAUCGUACCAGGAGGAGCUUGCGUACCAUUAGCCAGUUGGUAGGGUAAUGGCCUACCAAGGCGACGAUGGUUAGCGGGUCUGAGAGGAUGAUCCGCCACACUGGAACUGGAACACGGACCAG